rnacentral:rRNA from 1 species
GUAGGUGGCAAGCGUUGUCCGGAAUUAUUGGGCGUAAAGCGCGCGCAGGCGGUUCUUUAAGUCUGAUGUGAAAGCCCACGGGCUCAACCGUGGAGGGUCAUUGGAAACUGGAGAACUUGAGUACAGAAGAGGAAAGCGGAAUUCCACGUGUAGCGGUGAAAUGCGUAGAGAUGCGGAGGAACACCAGCGGCGAAGGCGGCUUUCUGGUCUGUAACUGACGCUGAGGCGCGAAAGCGUGGGGAGCAAACAAGAUUAGAUACCCUGGUAGUCCACGCCGUAAACGGUGAGUGCUAAGUGUUAGGGGGUUUCCGCCCCUUAGUGCUGCAGCUAACGCAUUAAGCGCUCCGCCUGGGGAGUACGGCCGCAAAGGCUG